GCAGUCCAAUAUUUUGUCUACACUUACACCACAAUUGUGUUGCUCUGCAACUUCAAUAUUAUUUUGCAAACAAUUUUUUUGAUUGCCUAGACAUUUUUCUUGUUACUCCAAACACAAUUGUGAGCACAAUGCUCAUACGGGUAUUCCGUAUUAGUCUUAGCAAGUAGAAGCUCUCCUGAAAGUGAAAAUGGAGUUUGUGGAAACUACGUUAAAAUCAUGGGGUUUUGAUUCCCUUGUGGAAGUUUUCCAAGCCAACGACGUCGAUUACGAAGUCUUUCUAAGUUUAAGCGAAGAAAUGAUAAACGAAUUAAUACCAAAAGUCAGGUUGCGAUAUAAAUUUAAACAAAGAUAUACGCAAUUCCAACAAGAAAAUUUAAUAUUAACGAUCGACACAUCAAAUGUGCAGUCGCUGAGUGAUACUGAAAUACAAUCGCCUAUUACAACAAUAAGCGAAAAUCCAAGAGAAUCAAGUAGUAAAUGAGAGAGUAAUUCUAACAACACAGUACUAAUUCAGUACUAUCCAACCCUAUCAAACCUUGGGUUGGGUUUACAAACUCAAUACAAACUGUACGAAACUAUAAAAAAGGAUACUCGAGGUCGCGAAAUCAUUCAAGGAUAUACAUCUUUGAAGCGAUUUUCGCGAACAACUCUAAGGGACAUAAUAAUAGAUGCGGAGUUAAGCAAAAAUCCAGAUGACAGGAUUUCUACAGCUCGUUUUAAAGAAUUAGCCCAACAAGUAGCCCUUACUUUUCCAGGGGGAUUUGCCGAAUCGUAUUAUAUUCCUUAUUGUAAGCAAGGGGACAAAAUUUGCUCAGCGAAAGGAAUACUGUGGGACAGAUAUGUAGCGAAGCGUCGCAAUUAUCGAAAAAUUGGGUUAAUUUCGAAAAAAGAAAAAAACAAUGUGGAAGCUACAAUAACCUCUCAUAGUGAAUCAGCAUCAGCCUCAGCAGAUAGUGAAUUGAUAGAAGACUAUCUUCAAUGGCUAAGAAACAAUAUAAUGCCGUGGUCAACAGUAAUGGACUACUGGAAAAAUUCUACAAAUGCAAGGAAAAAUUUUCAUAACAUUGCCGAAUAUUUCGCUGAGUUUCCUGCCCUUAGACAGCCUUCAGGUUACACACUACUAGAGUUAGACUUUGAUAAAGAAUACUCUGAAUAUUCUAAUAAAUUAAUGAAUACAUGGCAAAUGACUGCUGACAAGAGAAAACGAAAACACAACUGCGAAGAAUUACAUUAAAAAAUUUAAUUAUCAAUCUUUUUCCGAAAAGCAAAAAGAGAUUUUGGGCUUUCUCAUUUUACCAUUAAUUAUACCUCCUUGUCCCGUGAAAUCGAAAAAACCAGGUGACAAAUACAGACCUUCAAAAAUUGAAAUUCAACAGUCUUUUUGUUGCCUAAUAGAGAGCAUCGACAAAUUGCAAGAGACGAUUGAAAACCGGAAAAACAAACUCAGCAGAUUCAAUGAGACGUUUCAACCCAUGGUAAUUAUUGUUGGGGAAGUUGAAAACAUUAUUGCAUCUUACUUAAUAGUAAAUGAUGUACAUUAUAAAUUAGAAACUCCUUUGCGAGCAAUGGACGUUGGUUUUAAAUGUUUUCAUGCUCUUAAUGCGAAAUACCCAUGCGAAUCGGCAUAUAUUUGGACGUUCCUACAAAAAUAC